ensembl:lncRNA
AAGACAUUCAUGUAACAAAUUGACCUCUUACCGCAACCAUGGCCUUGAGUGACAAGAAGACCAGUCUUAAGGCAGCAUUGUUAGUACAGGCUGGAUCCCACACAGAGUGUGCAUGUCUACAGUGAGGAGGAACUCUUCAACCUUGAAAGUUUAUUGGUCACAGAGGACAUGGUACAUAAGAUUGAGACAGCAAAAGGAGAACAGACAGCUGACCAGGAAUGGCAUCAGCUCAACAACGCAAGGAUCACAUCUUCAUCUUGUUAUGUGAGGUGUGAAAUUGUACAGAGAAUGCUCUAUUUUGAGACAUAUGUCAGAAUACUGGAGAACAAGGAGAACAAAAUAUUUGACACCAUUAUUGUGCCCACUCUAUCAGAUGAGCUAUCUGAUCUCCAAGUGAACUGAUUUGUACUGUGAAAACAUUUUAUGCUAGUAUUCUGACGUGGGCGUCAGAAUACUUUCAAAACACAUUGGCAUAAUGGUUCCAGUCAUCUCAUGAGAGAGCCAUAUCCCAAAUGGAUCAAUUUCAUGAUGUUCUGCCAAUUUUUCACAGUUCAGCAACAGGUAGUUGAGGUAACUUCAGCUUGUUUAGCUUUUAUUCAGUGUUUGUGUUAUAAAUGUCAU